AGGAUGAACGCUGGCGGCGUGCCUAAUACAUGCAAGUCGAGCGGUAAGGCCCCUUCGGGGGUACACGAGCGGCGGACGGCUGAGUAACACGUAGGAACGUACCCCAAACUGAGGGAUAAGCACCAGAAAUGGUGUCUAAUACCGCAUGUGAUCUUCGGAUUAAAGCUUCGGCGGUUUGGGAACGGCCUGCGCAUGAUUAGCUUGUUGGUGAGGUAAUAGCUCACCAAGGCGACGAUCAUUAGCUGGUCUGAGAGGAUGAUCAGCCAGACUGGGACUGAGAACGGCCCAGACUCCUACGGGAGGCAGCAGUAGGGAAUUUUCCACAAUGGGCGAAAGCCUGAUGGAGCAACGCCGCGUGCAGGACGAAGGCCUUCGGGUUGUAAACUGUCUUUUAUAUGUGACGAUUAUGACGGUAGCAUAUGAAUAAGGAUCGGCUAACUCCGUGCCAGCAGCCGC
rnacentral:rRNA from 1 species